rnacentral:rRNA from 1 species
GACGAACGCUGGCGGCGUGCUUAACACAUGCGAGUCGAACGGAAAGGCCCUGCUUUUGUGGGGUGCUAGAGUGGCGAACGGGUGAGUAACACGUGAGUAACCUGCCCUUGACUUUGGGAUAACUUCAGGAAACUGGGGCUAAUACCGGAUAGGAGCUCCUGCUGCAUGGUGGGGGUUGGAAAGUUUCGGCGGUUGGGGAUGGACUCGCGGCUUAUCAGCUUGUUGGUGGGGUAGUGGCUUACCAAGGCUUUGACGGGUAGCCGGCCUGAGAGGGUGACCGGCCACAUUGGGACUGAGAUACGGCCCAGACUCCUACGGGAGGCAGCAGUGGGGAAUAUUGCACAAUGGGCGGAAGCCUGAUGCAGCAACGCCGCGUGCGGGAUGACGGCCUUCGGGUUGUAAACCGCUUUCGCCUGUGACGAAGCGUGAGUGACGGUAAUGGGUAAAGAAGCACCGGCUAACUACGUG